rnacentral:rRNA from 1 species
GUCCACGCCCUAAACGAUGCACACUAGUUGUUGUGAGGCUCGACCUUGCAGUAAUGCAGUUAACACAUUAAGUGUGCCGCCUGGGAGUACGGUCGCAAGAUUAAACUACAAGGAAUAGACGGGGACCCGGCACAAGCGGUGGAGCAUGUGGUUUAAUUCGACGAUACACGAAGAACCUUACCUGGACUUGACAUAGUAAGAACUUUCUAGAGAUAGAUUGGUGUCUGCUUGCAGAAACUUAUAUACAGGUGCUGCACGGCUGUCGU